UGUAUCAAACUGACAGAAAUGCAGGUAAGUUUCAAUAAAUAUUUUGACAAUGUGUUGGUAACAUAUGGCUUGAGGAAUUACUUGAGUAAUAUAAAGUCUAUGAUUUCUACUCUCGAUCUCACUAGUUACCAAAAUGUUUGUCCAAAUUGUAUUGAUAUGGUUAUUAUCAGCAUGGUCGUUGGCGAUGCCACCGCCUUACCCAACGACGCCUGUACCGACAUGUAUCUGUAGGGAUGGGCUGGAGAUAUUCCCAGGAGACAAACAUUAUGUAACAGAUUGUGAAAUAUGUGAAUGCGAUGCACAAUAUCGAGUAUAUGAAAUAGCUGUUGAUUGUUACCCCACCCCGUGUGUUGAUUCAUUUAAUAUUCCUCAUGAUGACAUAUGUUGUCCGACAUGUCCUAAUGGUCCUAACUGUGAAGCUGUCCUAAAUGGAGUUACACAUAUUAUUCCUGAUAAUGGUACAGUUUAUAUUGGUGACAUUGCCUGUGCUUGCGAACCUUUGUAUUUUAUUUGGCACAAUGGUCGUACUAGAAAAGCAAGCUGUCCUCCUCUUCUAUUUACAGCUCCCACGGCACCACCAUCACCAACUGGUGGAGAACCAACAGGCUAGAUAAGUCAUGAGCGGAGGGUAAUGUAAAGAUAGUCUACACCACCGUAUAUAUCAUCAACUAAUAGUAUUCAAUACUUAUACAUGAUAUACGUAUAUACCAUAAACUAAUAGUAUUAAAUACACUGCUUGCAAUCAGA